CAUAAUCGAACAAAGACGGGGAUACCGACAGUGCCGAGAUACCGAUAAGAGGCGGAGAGAAGCGACUCGGGAAUAAGGAUCGGAGGUGUUCUUUUGGGCGAGAUAACGAGGAGAAGAAGUCGAGGGAUGGGACGGCCGCCGAGGGCGAUCGUGGGGGACGAUUACGAGGUAACAGAGUUAUGUUAUUCUGAAGGUUGGCCUACAUUUGUGUCAUGAUUGGUGAGGGAAUGUAAUGCAUAUCUACAAGCAUUACUGUAGUAAGUUUUCAUCUGAUUAUAGUAGUCCUCUUCCUUUCUUGUCCUUAAUGUAUCUCUUCUCGAGAAGCUUCAGGAAUGCCAACAUCCUUAAAAGAAAGUGGCUUCCCCGGCUUCUUCCGAUGUAAAGGGAUAAAUCUCAAUCAUCUUCUGGGGAAUAAAGGCUAAAGACGGCAGUUUAAUAUGUUCAGUUGUUGUAACUCAACAAGAUCAUUCUCUUGUUCUACGAGGAGGAUAUGAUCAUAGAAAUCUGUUGUGAAAAGUGAAGCAAGUGGGUCGUUUUUAGCUUUAGUAGGCCUUCACAUAAGUUGUUCUAAAUGCUAACGGUGAUUAUACAAACCAUGUUUUGUUGCUCAGAGAAGAGUAAUGUGAGACGUGUGGCUCUGUUAGCUUUUUAACUUGCAAGAGAUCUCAGUUGCCUAUUGAUGUCUUCAAUUGUAUUGGGUUAUAAUCCCAAAA